rnacentral:rRNA from 1 species
GUCCUACGGGGGGCAGCAGUGGGGAAUAUUGGGCAAUGGGCGCAAGCCUGACCCAGCAACGCCGCGUGAAGGAAGAAGGCUUUCGGGUUGUAAACUUCUUUUCUGAGGGACGAAGAAAGUGACGGUACCUCAGGAAUAAGCCACGGCUAACUACGUGCCAGCAGCCGCGGUAAUACGUAGGUGGCAAGCGUUAUCCGGAUUUAUUGGGUGUAAAGGGCGUGUAGGCGGGAAUGCAAGUCAGAUGGGAAAACUAUGGGCUCAACCCAUAGCCUGCAUUUGAAACUGUAUUUCUU